GGAGGUAUAGCACAGUUGUAGAAUGUUUGCCUAACAAGCAUGAGGCUCUGUGUUCAAACCUCAGUACUGCCC
rnacentral:tRNA from 1 species